AGGGAGUUGCGUUUUGACAACCAUCUACAGGGUCGUAUUCAUUAGGGCGUGUAAAGUAAUGUAUUCAUGACAAUUUAACGUUUCCUAUUGGACAGAUGCAAGGUCGUCUCUCCCUGUUUCAGGCCAUUUACUUCGGUUUGGUGCCUAAUGAAAACGACCCAGGUAAAUUAAAUCUAACGUAGUGGCAACGUGUGAGAUUAGGAUUGAGAUUAUGUCUAGUUUGAGAUUGUUAUGGUUCUUAUCAAGAAAAACAUAUAUAUUAUGCAGUAAAGGGUUUAAUAUAUUUAUUUUGUUAUAAAUUGAAUAUGUGUGUGUAUGUUAUUAUGAAUUUGAUUGAUAAAAAGAGACAAUGUUUGUUUUUGGGUUUACACUUCUGAAAAGGGAAAAUGGUAUGCUGUAGGAAAUCUUUUGCACAACUACAUUACCCUAUACUACUGUAAGGUGCUGUCACUGCAUUACCCUAUACUACUGUAAGGUGCUGUAACUACAUUACCCUAUACUACUGCAAGGUGAAUUCACUACAUUACCCUAUACUACAGUAAGUUGUUGUAACUACAUUACCCUAUACUACUACUGCAAAGGUUGGGGUCAAUUCCAGUCAAUUCAGGAAGUAUUCCAAUGCUUUUCAAUGAGCAACAUUUGGAAUCGGAAUUUGGUUUGCCUUUGAAUAAAUAAUAACAAUAAU